rnacentral:rRNA from 1 species
GACGAACGCUGGCGGCGUGCUUAACACAUGCAAGUCGAGCGGUAAGGCCCUUUCGGGGGUACGACGAGCGGCGAACGGGUGAGUAACACGUGGGUGACCUGCCCUCCAGCUCUGGGAGUAAAGCCUGGGAAACCGGGUCUAAUACUGGAUAUGACUCCAUGACGCAUGUUGUGGGGUGGAAAGCCUUGUGCGGCUGAGGAUGGGCCCGCGGCCUAUCAGCUUGUUGGUGGGGUGAGGCCUACCAAGGCGACGACGGGUAGCCGGCCUGAGAGGGCGACCGGCCACACU